CCUACGGGGGGCAGCAGUGGGGAAUAUUGGACAAUGGGCGAAAGCCUGAUCCAGCCAUGCCGCGUGUGUGAAGAAGGCCUUCGGGUUGUAAAGCACUUUCAGUGGGGAAGAAAGCCUUGGGGCUAAUACCCUCGAGGAAGGACAUCACCCACAGAAGAAGCACCGGCUAACUCCGUGCCAGCAGCCGCGGUAAUACGGAGGGUGCGAGCGUUAAUCGGAAUUACUGGGCGUAAAGCGCGCGUAGGCGGUCUGAUAAGCCGGUUGUGAAAGCCCCGGGCUCAACCUGGGAACGGCAUCCGGAACUGUCAGGCUAGAGGGCAGGAGAGGAAGGUAGAAUUCCCGGUGUAGCGGUGAAAUGCGUAGAGAUCGGGAGGAAUACCAGUGGCGAAGGCGGCCUUCUGGACUGACACUGACGCUGAGGUGCGAAAGCGUGGGUAGCAAACAGGAUUAGAUACCCUUGUAGUC
rnacentral:rRNA from 1 species